rnacentral:rRNA from 1 species
CCUACGGGGGGCAGCAGUGAGGAAUAUUGGUCAAUGGACGCAAGUCUGAACCAGCCAUGCCGCGUGCAGGAAGACGGCUCUAUGAGUUGUAAACCGCUUUUGCACGAGGGCAACCGCCGAUACGCGUACCUGUCUGAAAGUAUCGUACGAAUAAGGAUCGGCUAACUCCGUGCCAGCAGCCGCGGUAAUACGGAGGAUUCAAGCGUUAUUCGGAUUUAUUGGGUUUAAAGGGUGCGUAGGCGGUCGGAUAAGGUAGAGGUGAAAACCCGAGGCUCAACUUCGGACUUGCCUUUGAUACUGUUCGGCUUGAGAGUGUGUGCGGUAGGCGGAAUGUAUGGUGUAGCGGUGAAAUGCUUAGAGAUCAUACAGAACACCGAUUGCGAAGGCAGCUUACCAAGCUACUUCUGACGUUGAGGCACGAAAGCGUGGGGAGCAAACAGGAUUAGAUACCCUGGUAGUC